GCCCUGGUAGCUCAGUGGCAGAGCGGGCGACUCCAGUUAAUCCCUGGGUAUCGUCAGGUCAUCCGUUCAAUCCGGGUUCGGGGCU
rnacentral:tRNA from 1 species